rnacentral:tRNA from 1 species
AAGGGAGACCUAAUUCAGGUAGGCGACGAAAAAAAAGUAGUCGCUACCAAGAAUCAAUCCCAAAAGGUCGGAGCGAGGCAAGAUUGGCUUUCAAACUAGGUUCUGGGUUCACACAAGACCUGAAUCAGGAACAAGGGCUAUUAGCUCAGGUGGUUAGAGCGCACCCCUGAUAAGGGUGAGGUCCCUGGUUCGAGUCCAGGAUGGCCCACCUGCACAGGUGGAAAAAAGAAAAGAAGCUCCGAAUCAGCACCUUAUCUUACUUAUAUAGUAAGAGAGAAUGCUGGCUCUGAGUUCAGAGUCCAGAGGAACCUUGAAAACUGCAUAGAGCUAGGUGAAAAAGCCAAAAAAGAAGACCGCAA